rnacentral:rRNA from 1 species
AAACCAACAGGGAUUGCCUCAGUAACGGCGAGUGAAGCGGCAAAAGCUCAAAUUUGAAAUCUAGCACUUUCAGUGUUCGAGUUGUAAUUUGAAGAAGGUAACUUUGGUUUUGGCUCUGUCUAUSUUCCUUGGAACAGGACGUCACAGAGGGUGAGAAUCCCGU